AACGAACGCUGGCGGCAGGCCUAACACACGCAAGUCGAGCGAGAUCUUCGGGUCUAGCGGCGGACGGGUGAGUAACGCGUGGGAAUAUGCCUCUUGGUACGGAAUAGCCUCGGGAAACUGGGAGUAAUACCGUAUGUGCCCUUUGGGGGAAAGAUUUAUCGCCAAGAGAUUAGCCCGCGUUGGAUUAGGUAGUUGGUGGGGUAAUGGCCUACCAAGCCGACGAUCCAUAGCUGGUUUGAGAGGAUGAUCAGCCACACUGGGACUGAGACACGGCCCAGACUCCUACGGGAGGCAGCAGUGGGGAAUCUUAGACAAUGGGGGCAACCCUGAUCUAGCCAUGCCGCGUGAGUGAUGAAGGCCUUAGGGUUGUAAAGCUCUUUCAGCUGGGAAGAUAAUGACGGUACCAGCAG
rnacentral:rRNA from 1 species